rnacentral:rRNA from 1 species
GAUGAACGCUAGCUACAGGCUUAACACAUGCAAGUCGAGGGGAAACGACAUCGAAAGCUUGCUUUUGAUGGGCGUCGACCGGCGCACGGGUGAGUAACGCGUAUCCAACCUGCCCACCACUUGGGGAUAACCUUGCGAAAGUAAGACUAAUACCCAAUGACGUCUCUAGAAGACAUCUGAAAGAGAUUAAAGAUUUAUCGGUGAUGGAUGGGGAUGCGUCUGAUUAGCUUGUUGGCGGGGUAACAGCCCACCAAGGCGACGAUCAGUAGGGGUUCUGAGAGGAAGGUCCCCCACAUUGGAACUGAGACACGGUCCAAACUCCUACGGGAGGCAGCAGUGAGGAAUAUUGGUCAAUGGGCGAGAGCCUGAACCAGCCAAGUAGCGUGCAGGAUGACGGCCCUAAGGGUUGUAAACUGCUUUUAUAAGGGAAUAAAGUGAGCCUCGUGAGGCUUUUUGCAUGUACCUUAUGAAUAAGGACCGGCUAAUUCCGUGCCAGCCGCCGCGGUAA